AAGUGGCAUGGAGAUGGUGGAUGCCAGUCCUCCUUUUUAUUCACAUCGAAUAGGAGGAAAUUCCUUAAGGAAAGGACUCAAAGCCUUGAAGUGGGGAGAAUUGGAUCUCUGCGAACUUUCUUACAAUCCUGUUGCAAAAAAAUCAGCCUUACAAACUGGUGUAUACAUGGGACCCUUGCUUCUUCACCCAGCAAAUGAAGACCUUACACCGUUUGCUCAUCUUUUGUCCUAGAUCAUCGUACUGUUGUCAGCUGCUUUUUGACUUUGAAGUCGUCACUGAGCCAGAGGAUGUGACAGUGUGGUAGGAAGGCAGCAGGCUGAUUGCAACUUUGGGCUUUCUCUCAGUCCUUGCUGAUGCAUCUGUGGAAAGGCAGUAAAAGAACCAGGCGAUCGAGGGAAGACAAGAAAACAGUAAUAAACAAUUUAAAAAGUGGGGGGAAAUCAUGUUUAGAGAAGUGAGCUGGAUGUGAUGUGACACUACCAUCUGUUUGGCUUAAGAUGGAAGCAAUGAGGUCCCCUAGCAGUGCAGCACAGAGAGCAGCAGGCAUCACCAGCCCUCCGCACCCACUGCUUCUGUGCAGGUGGACAGCACUGACACACAUCUCUUCUUCCAGUCACUUUGUGCUUCUAAUAUGCAGCUGGUGGUUGUGAAAGCUGUCGGAGGAGUAGAGCAAGAGCAGGGAAGCUCCUGUUUCAUUACAGAAAAAUAACGGGGUGAAAAAUGUCUUUUCAAACUGUCCUUCUCAUCCAACCCUUAACACUGUUGGGGUGAUGUUAUGGGUGGGAGCUGGACUGCAGCUGGCUGCCUGCAGGCAGAAGUGAGAUGGGAAAGGGGAUGACGCGGUGCAAGGAAAUGGUUCUAACCCAUCUCAGACACCAAUUUGGAAGUAUUCUUAGAAUUACCAUCAAGCAGCUCUCUGACCUUUUGACCAUGGAUUCCUCAGUCUGUCAACAAGAGGCAUCCCAAGCAAGGCUCCCCAACUUGGCUCCUGGUCCUGAAAUUGGUGUGAGCAAUCAAGAAACUUCAGUCUGCACCUGUGGGCACUUUAAAUGCCUAGAUUCAUCUGUAAUGGGUGCAGUGUAAGGGUAGUCCUCCUGAAGACUCCAAGGUUAUAUGCAUUUCUUACAGAAAACCAAACUCUUCACCUCCUAGUGAAAGGUUAUAAACACAAGAAAUGUUUCAUUUUAACAAACCAGGUUUCUUUUAUAAAUACCAAAAUAGAUUCAGCUGGGACUGAAACUAAAGAAAAUAGCCGUUCUUUUUCUAACAGCUUUUACUGUUACUAGCUUAUAGUCAUUGCUUUCAUACUUUUACCUUCUGCUGUGCUAAGAACACAUCAUUGUCAUUGCUUUUCAACUGUUCCUGCUUCAGCUGUAUGAUUUUCCACAAGUUAUAUUUCUCUCUCUAUAUUACAUUGGUGGCUC
ensembl:lncRNA